CAGGACCCCUGGAUUCUCGGCCCAGCUCUGAGAGGGGAGUGGGGGCUAGAGGUUAGAACCAGGAGGCGAUGGACCGAGCUAAUCUAUUGACAUUUAGUCCCUGGAUGGGGUCCUUCCAGGGCAGGCCAAAUUUGGCGUUUGAUUCCUCCAGAGGGGGCUGUUGGGGCAGCCCCUCCUUGCUGUGGGGGUGGAGGGCUGGGUUGUGGCUGGCUGUACUUUGAAUCCCGAGGUGCUUAUCAAAUAUUUACAGCCAGGCUAAUCAUUAACCUGCUUGUGCUUUAUGGGCCUGGCCUCCUGGUGAAAAGAUAGCCCAGCCCCACCCGGCCCAUCAGUCCCUCCAGCUCUGGCAGGGUCCAGGCUGGCAAGGGUACAGUGAAGGGGAGACAGACAGACAGACAGACCGACCCAAGGGAGAUGCCAAGGUGCCCAAUUCAGGAUCCCCUGUCUCCGGCAGGUGACUACCUCCAUCCCAACCUGAGUCCGGCACACAGCUCUCACCUCGCGCCAGCGAUGCACUGUCCAAGCAUCACUUGGAGAAACGCUUCCCCUUGAACUCGCAUCCCGGCGUGCAGGAAGCCCCUAUUGCACAUGAUCCCCUGGGGCUGGAAGUGACCGACAGACACCACCUCCUGCCUAGUGGGAGACUGCCCCCUGCUAGAAGGUGAUGCCUAAUGGAUGUAACAGCAACUCCAUGUGGAAGGUUUCAUCCUGUUUCCAGUGGGGCUGCUGUUAUUUUUGAUAGGCUGUCAGGAGCGUCGCAUGGAGCAGGGGGCAGGAUGGGGGGAACAUCAGCUAGAGAGUGUUUGUGGGGGGGUAGGAGAUGCUGGGUCGAGCCCCACCCCCAGAGGGUGUAUACCGGCUAGGGCCUCUCGGUAUUACUGUAAUACUCAGAAUAAUGCACACACCAUAAUGGGGACUGUAGCGGGGUGGUCACUGGCUCCUGCCCUGAAGGGCUUGAAAUCAGCCCUGGGAGAAGGCUGAGGCUGCGAGAGGGCUGUUGUUAGGGAAAGCAGCAAGCCUCGGCUAAUUGGGGAAACAGCCACAGCUGUGGCCACACCCCAGUCAGGGUCCAGCUGGCCUUUAUAAGAGGGCAGUGGGCCAGGAGGACCCAGCCUCUCUCUUCAUGUUGAAAGGGAGGAGUCUGACUGCUAGGAGCUGAGCAGAGUACCUAAAGUGGAGCAGGGCGGGAGAGCUCCGGCCUGAGAAACCCACAGGCUGAAGGCCUAGGAAAAGGGAACUGGAGUUGCAGAGGGUAGCCCAAGGGUAGGCAGAAGCAGCAGGUCCAGACCCUCCUUGCUGAUGAGUGGCAAUUGUACUGCAGUCCGCCCCAGGGAGCGGGGGCUAGAUGGUGACUGGCAGUAGCCAAAGACUGAAGCGAGGUGAGGAUAGAGGGUGGAGGUUCCCUGUGGGGGUGAGACCCAGAUUUGUGGGGGUACUGUCAGGGGGCAGCACCCUGAUGUGAAAAGGGUACUGGAGUCUGGGAGGGACUUGGGGGCCCAGCUGCAAGCGGAACACCGGCCUGCAGAGGGUGCUCUGGAGGCUGGAAAUGCUAAUUCCCUGGACCACCAGCAGGAGGCGCUGCAGGGGUGAGUCCCACUCCACUGCAGAGACCCUGAGCUCAGUUGGGGCCUCCAGGUGCUACCAUAAUACUAUUAAUAAUGCGCACAUAAUAAAGCCCCAUCUCAAUCUGGGCAUCUAGAUGCUACCAUUCUGCCACUAAUAAUGUGCACUUUAGAAGGAGACACUGAUCUGGGUUAGGACCUUCUGCUGUUACUGUAAUACUGCUAAUAAUGUGCACCUCACAAUGGCCUGUAAAUACAACUUUUAUACUACUACUAAUGUGCACCCCCUAAGGGGGCCCCGACUGCAGUUGAGGCCUCUAGGAGCUACCAUAAUAUUACUAAUAGUGAGCAUGACAUAAUUUGUUCCACCUCCACAGGGUACUGUAACACUGCUAAUAAUGCACAAGCUUUAAUGAGGCCCGAUCUCAGUAAUACACCUAACACAGGGAUGACAACAGCCAGUCCCACGCUGGGAGUCAAGCCGCUGGAGAUUCAGAGCGGGCUCUGGCCAGCUCUUCCUUGUGUGUUGGUAGCCAGAGGGGUGGCGGGUGAGCAAAGAUAGGAGGGGGGCUAGGGAGCUGGUUUCCCACCUGCAGCAGGGCUGGAAGGCGGCUCUGGGACACAGGGGCUUUAAGAGCGGAUGGGGGCAGGGCAGAUAAGGAGCCGCCCCCCAAGACCCAGUGCACAGGACUAUGACCUAUGAAUUGACAGCCAGUCCUUCUGCCAUGCCCUGGCUGUCAGUUCUGUAGGGCACAGGUAUGUUCACCUCCGUGACCUCGGCAUGGCGACCGGCGGGUGUGCCAGGGAGCGAGGGGUUACCUGGGGCUGGGGUGGGAGGGAUGGGAGAUGACUGGAUGGAUGGGGAAGACCUGAGGAGGGGAAAUAAACUGGAUUCCCAGCAAA